rnacentral:rRNA from 1 species
UACGGAGGGUGCAAGCGUUAAUCGGAAUUACUGGGCGUAAAGCGCGCGUAGGCGGCUAAGUCAGUCGGAUGUGAAAUCCCUGGGCUCAACCUGGGAACUGCAUACGAUACUGCUUGGCUAGAGUGUGGGAGAGGGUGGUGGAGUUCCCGGUGUAGCGGUGAAAUGCGUAGAUAUCGGGAGGAACACCGGUGGCGAAGGCGGCGAUCUGGGUCGAUACUGACGCUGAGGUGCGAAAGCGUGGGGAGCAAACAGG